rnacentral:piRNA from 1 species
CCNGGUGCUCUCACCUCCAAAUAGCCCCAC